AGUAUGUUAACAAACAUCAUAAAGUAAAUAAGUUAACCGAUCCGAGAAAAUAUGAAAUUAACUAAUUUAAUAAUUGUAUUCGUUUGUAUUAUUAUCGCUUCAAUGAAAGCUGAGGGUAAUGGAAUAGUAUUUAGAACAUUAUCAAAUUGUUGCAAAUAAAUUAUGAACAAGAGACUGACUAAAAGAUGGCCUGUGUUUUCUAAAAGAAAAAUAAUCAUUUAGAAAAUACAUAUAUUUUAAUAAUAUGAAUUAUAUUUAGUCUUAAUUGAAUUAUUUAAAUUAUAAUUUUAAAAUGCAAUAUUAACAUA